rnacentral:rRNA from 1 species
UGUUUCGGCUAGGGGGCCAUCCCGGCUUACCAACCCGAUGCAAACUGCGAAUACCGGAGAAUGUUAUCACGGGAGACACACGGCGGGUGCUAACGUCCGUCGUGAAGAGGGAAACAACCCAGACCGCCAGCUAAGGUCCCAAAGUCAUGGUUAAGUGGGAAACGAUGUGGGAAGGCCCAGACAGCCAGGAUGUUGGCUUAGAAGCAGCCAUCAUUUAAAGAAAGCGUAAUAGCUCACUGGUCGAGUCGGCCUGCGCGGAAGAUGUAACGGGGCUAAACCAUGCACCGAAGCUGCGGCAGCGAACGUAUCACUUAAAGCGAUUCAGCGGAUUACGAUUGACGGAGCGAAGCGACGUCAAAGCGUAUACAAAGUCGAGUCGGUUUAAGGAUACGUUCGUUGGGUAGGGGAGCGUUCUGUAAGCCUGUGAAGGUGGCCUGUGAGGGUUGCUGGAGGUAUCAGAAGUGCGAAUGCUGACAUAAGUAACGAUAAAGCGGGUGAAAAGCCCGCUCGCCGGAAGACCAAGGGUUCCUGUCCAACGUUAAUCGGGGCAGGGUGAGUCGACCCCUAAGGCGAGGCCGAAAGGCGUAGUCGAUGGGAAACGGGUUAAUAUUCCCGUACUUGGUGUUACUGCGAAGGGGGGACGGAGAAGGCUAUGUUGGCCGGGCGACGGUUGUCCCGGUUUAAGCGUGUAGGUGUGUGUUCCAGGUAAAUCCGGUUCACUUUAACACUGAGGCGUGACGACGAGGCACUACGGUGCUGAAGCAACAAAUGCCCUGCUUCCAGGAAAAGCCUCUAAGCAUCAGGUAACAUCAAAUCGUACCCCAAACCGACACAGGUGGUCAGGUAGAGAAUACCAAGGCGCUUGAGAGAACUCGGGUGAAGGAACUAGGCAAAAUGGUGCCGUAACUUCGGGAGAAGGCACGCUGACACGUAGGUGAAGUGAUUUACUCAUGGAGCUGAAGUCAGUCGAAGAUACCAGCUGGCUGCAACUGUUUAUUAAAAACACAGCACUGUGCAAACACGAAAGUGGACGUAUACGGUGUGACGCCUGCCCGGUGCCGGAAGGUUAAUUGAUGGGGUCAGCGCAAGCGAAGCUCCUGAUCGAAGCCCCGGUAAACGGCGGCCGUAACUAUAACGGUCCUAAGGUAGCGAAAUUCCUUGUCGGGUAAGUUCCGACCUGCACGAAUGGCGUAAUGAUGGCCAGGCUGUCUCCACCCGAGACUCAGUGAAAUUGAACUCGCUGUGAAGAUGCAGUGUACCCGCGGCAAGACGGAAAGACCCCGUGAACCUUUACUAUAGCUUGACACUGAACAUUGAGCCUUGAUGUGUAGGAUAGGUGGGAGGCUUUGAAGUGUGGACGCCAGUCUGCAUGGAGCCGACCUUGAAAUACCACCCUUUAAUGUUUGAUGUUCUAACGUGGACCCGUAA